AACGAACGCUGGCGGCAUGCCUAACACAUGCAAGUCGAACGAGACCUUCGGGUCUAGUGGCGCACGGGUGCGUAACACGUGGGAAUCUGCCCUUCGGUUCGGAAUAACAGAGAGAAAUUUCUGCUAAUACCGGAUAACGACGAAAGUCCAAAGAUUUAUCGCCCAAGGAUGAGCCCGCGUAAGAUUAGCUAGUUGGUAGGGUAAAGGCCUACCAAGGCUACGAUCUUUAGCUGGUCUGAGAGGAUGAUCAGCCACACUGGGACUGAGACACGGCCCAGACUCCUACGGGAGGCAGCAGUAGGGAAUAUUGGACAAUGGGGGAAACCCUGAUCCAGCAAUGCCGCGUGAGUGAUGAAGGCCUUAGGGUUGUAAAGCUCUUUUACCCGAGAUGAUAAUGACAGUAUCGGGAGAAUAAGCUCCGGCUAACUCCGUG
rnacentral:rRNA from 1 species